UACGUAGGGUGCAGGCGUUAAUCGGAAUUACUGGGCGUAAAGCGUGCGCGGGCGGUUUCUCAAGUCAGAUGUGAAAGCCCCGGGCUCAACCUGGGAACUGCGUUUGAAGCUGGGAGACUCGAGUGUGGCAGAGGGGGGUGGAAUUCCACGUGUAGCAGUGAAAUGCGUAGAUAUGUGGAGGAACACCGAUGGCGAAGGCAGCCCCCUGGGUUAACACUGACGCUCAUGCACGAAAGCGUGGGGAGCAAACAGG
rnacentral:rRNA from 1 species